rnacentral:rRNA from 1 species
UAGAUACCCCGGUACUCCUUUCUGUAAACGAUGAAUGGUAGUCAUUAGUAAAAAUAAAAUAACUAGAGGCGAAGUUAACACAAUAACCAUUCCGCCUUGUGAGUACUACUGCAAAGUAGAAAACAAAAAAAUUAGUCGGUCUCGAAGCAAACGGAGUGAAGCAUGUUAUUUAAUACGAUAAUCCGCGUAAAACCUUACCAGAACUUGCAUACAAACUAUAAAUUUUUUUUCCUUAGGGACAAAAAAGAUUAGGGGUAUUUUAUAAUUUAAAUACUUAAGUACAGGUGUUGCAUGGCUGUCUUCAGUUCGUGUUGUUAAACAUUAGGUUAAUUCCACUAACGAACGAAAUCCCUGUUAUUAAUUUAUACUUAAUAACUAAUAAAUCUGAUAGAGAUUUAGCGGGGGCUAAGACAAGUCGUUAUGGCCCUCAUGUUCUGGGCUAUAGACGUGCCACAAAAACUUUUACAAAGUGAUGCAAUACUUCCCAAGAGAAGUGGAGCUAAUCAUUAAAAAAAGUGAUUUAUAUUAAAUAUAAGCCGGAUUGUCUCCUGUAAUUCGGAGGCAUGAAGAAGGAAUUCCGAGUAAUCGUUGAUAAGUAGCGCAACGGUGAAGCUAGUUUCGUGAUGAACUAACUGUCUGUCGCUGGGAAGAAGCCUUUAGUGGAGGAAACUGGAGUAAGAUUAUGUUUUUUUCAUAGUAACUCAUUGCUUUAAGUAAAGUAUUUUUAGUAUUAUGAUAAACUUAUUGGAUUUAGUGAAUUCAUUGAG